AAUAGGCCCAAUUGAUUAAAGCCCAUUUACGUGCUUAUUAUCUGGUAGGGUUUCUUAUCUUCGCUAUAAAUCGUUGCAACCUUGUCUUUUUCAUCUUUCAGCGGCCAUCAACUAGGUUUACGACAAAGCAAAACACCGUUCAAGAUGAGAGCCAAGUGGAAGAAGAAGCGUAUGAGGAGAUUGAAGAGGAAGCGCCGAAAGAUGAGACAGAGAUCUAAGUAGUGAGCUUGGAUAAUCGAUCGUAGUUUGUUUCUUGUUGUUCUUUCGUAUGUUUUUGUUGUCAAAUGAAUCCUAUUAAUAAUUUUGUUGGAUAUUUUUCAUGUUUUGAUACAUUAUGGGUUUUACAUCUUAAUCUUAUUAGUUUUGGUUUGAGCAAUUAUUUA